AAAGUAAGUAUCAUAUAUAGUGUUUUUGGUUUCGGCCCAAAAGGAGAAUAUUUUUCUUUACUUUA
rnacentral:tRNA from 1 species